AUGUUUGACCCCUCCAUUAAAUGUGAUUACAUCAACAAUAACCUUGCCGAGUAUUUUAAUGGUUGGAUUAAAGAUUACAAAGAUUUGCCACCUGAUGAGCUAGCUGACACUCUUAGAGAGCUAGUCAUGAAACUUCAUGAGAAAAGGAGAAAGAUUGGAAUGAAAUUGAAAGGAAAAAUUAUUCCAGCCAUCAUCCAACAGAUUCAUAAUAGGACAAGAGGACUUAAACAUUUGAAAGUUGGGAAAUCUGGAGUUGCAAGUUGUGAGGUGAGGGACACAAGUAAAUACAACUUGCGACAUGUUGUGAAAACUGACCAAAGCGAGUGCACAUGCUUGGAGUGGCAGCACAUAGGGAAGCCUUGUGAGCAUGCACUUGCUUUCUUGCUAGAUAGAAGGAAUCCCAGAUGGGAGGAUUAUGUGCAUGACUAUUUCUCUCUAGAGAAGUUUCGGGUAGCAUAUGCUGGAGAGAUUGAGCCAUUGACAAAUAGGUCUCAAUGGCCACAUGUACAAUUUCCAUUUGACAUGGAGGCUCCAUUAGACAAUAAAAGAGGUGUUGGAAGGCCUAGAAAGAACAGGUACAAGAGCUUCCUCGAAGGUGGAGAUGGUGGUCCUAAAAAGAAGAAAGAACAGGUACAAGAGCUUCCUCGAAGGUGGAGAAGGUGGAGAAGGUACAACAGCUAG
rnacentral:rRNA from 1 species